rnacentral:rRNA from 1 species
UGGGGAAUAUUGCACAAUGGAGGGAACUCUGAUGCAGCGACGCCGCGUGAACGAAGAAGGCUUUCGAGUCGUAAAGUUCUUUUAUAUGGGAAGAUAAUGACGGUACCAUAAGAAAAAGCCCCGGCUAACUACGUGCCAGCAGCCGCGGUAAUACGUAUGGGGCAAGCGUUGUCCGGAAUUAUUGGGCGUAAAGGGUACGUAGGCGGUUUAACAAGUCCUAAUUAAAAGGCUAUGGCUCAACCAUAGUAUGGUUAGGAAACUGUUGAACUUGAGUAGAUGAGGGGAAAGUGGAAUUCCAUGUGUAGCGGUGAAAUGCGUAGAUAUAUGGAGGAACACCAAUGGCGAAGGCAACUUUCUGGAAUCAAACUGACGCUGAGGUACGAAGGCGUGGGGAGCAAACAGG